CUAUUGAAGGAGGUAAUGUAACUUUGAUUCUUUCUUUUGUAUCAUGCAUAGGUCUAAGAUGGCUCUCCAACAUAUAAAUGGACCUAAACAAUGUGAGUCAUUGGAUCUAUAGGACACGAUGGUAUGGUUAGGUGGUUCCAACAGUUAAGAUUGUCUAGUUGGUGUCUCUUUUUCUUCACCGGUUGAUAGUAAAUGGGCUUGGUCACUCCUGAAGUAGUUUGAGUUUGGUUUGCAUGUAGCCUGAGCUGUUAGAGUUCUUUGAUAUUUAGGCCAUGACCGUGAAAAACCUCAAGAAGUCACUUAGAUGCCUAUUAAAUUCUUAAGUUGUAACGGGAUAUUACAGGUAAUCUGAUUGUGGGGCCCACAAUUUGUCCAAAAAAAAAGAUAUGACCAAAACUCAUAGAUUCAAACUAUAAGUCAGUCAAAGACAUUUCAGAAACCAUCUAACUAGUUGUUAGGUUCCUAUAUGUAUCAAGCUUUCAGCUACUGAGUUGAGAUGAUGUGAGCAGUUCCCAUUUCAAUGCAUCAGUAAUAUUUUCUUGCUUGAAACAUCAUCUUAUAUCAAAUUGAACAUAACCUUCUAAUUAGUGAAUUGUUUCUUUUGAGAGACCUGACUGAAACUUUUCUGAUAGCUAGUGCCCUUCAAAAAGUCAACCGAAUUUGAAAUCAAUGACACAGGGCUCCCCUGAAGAAUUCAUACACAGAAAUCGAGAAGCCUUAGAAAGUGAAUAUGUAAGCUUUAAUCUUCAUCACUGGAUCGACCUAUUAUUUGGUUACAAACAGCGUGGAAGUUACCUGUUUUUGCACUGAGUGGAAUUGCAACUGGCCCAAAUUGUGCUUCUAAAACGUGGUUUCUUAUCAUGGUUUUGUAUGUUUAAUAUAUUCAGAAGAUGUGGAAAAUGGCUUAAGGAAUGAUUUCUUAUCAUGGUUAAGCACAAGAGAAUUGAUUCUUAUAGAAUGAUUUCUUAUCGUGGUUAAGCAUAAGAGAAUUGAUUCUUAUAUAUUAAUGCAACAACUAUGGAUUAAAGGUGACACUACCUAAUGCAUCUGUCCAUUGAAACGCUUCCUGCUGUACUUCUCCUAUGAACAUUUCUAUGCGAUAUACUGCAAAUUUUGGGAGAUGGAUAUGGAUCAUGAUUUCUUGAUUGAUAAAGAGAAUCUUAUUAGAUAUGGUAACCAUGCUCUCACUUACAGGAUUGUUGACGGAAUUUUUUCACAGAUUCCAACAAACUAUUCCAACAUAGAGAGCUUCCACCCUAGGAGGUACGUUUGAACCCCACACAUUAGAACAAGGCUAACUACUUGGAUUUUGGUUAUAUAGCCAAUGACACAAGUCCCAAUCAAAAUUCACUGAAGCCAAGGCUAAAAGCCUAUUGGUCCUUCAACAAAACAUUCCUAAAAUACCUCAACUACUACAAAUCAAUUAGUAAAGUUAAAAUGUUAUUAAAUAUCCCAUCCAAAGAUCCAAACACUCUCAAAACUGUUUAUCCACAACUGUAUGGCUCUCUUUAGGGCUCUAUGGUUGUACAAAAGCCCUACUUUUGCAUAUAUUAUUUGUAUUAACUCUAAAAAUACCCAGCUAAUUGGACUUGUUGCCCCCUAAGUCCAAUUGCUCCGUUGUUUCAUCCAUCCAGUUGGCUCUGUUUGUCCCACAAGCAAUUAUGCCAUUUGAUGGACUGUUGAUUGGAUUGUGGACCCCAUGGUCCAAUUGGAUGGGAUUUUUGCCACAGGCCUUAAUUGGCCAGCGUGUGGGGUCCAUUGGUGGAACCUAUUUGUUGAUCCGUUUGUCUUGCAUUGUUAAAUCUAUUUGUUGUAUGAGUAAACUUUGAUGUAGUAAUUACUAAUGCAACUUAUGUUAUUGUCA